CAAGAGUUUUGGAAAAAGUAUCAAUCAGAUUCCAGCCUUAGUGAUGGUGUGAUGUGGAAUCAGUUGCAUGGAAAGGUGAGGUUACACUUUGUACCACAGAAAGUGAACACAAAGAACAUGGAACUACAUGGAAGAAAUUUUAGAACCAAUUGUAAAGCCACUGAACAUUGAUAUUUUCAACCAUAUCAACUAUAUCUUCCAACAAGAUUUUGCUCUGUUACAUGAGAUCAAUGUUAUCCAGAGCCCAACUUUAUCUCCAAUGAAGAAUGACCACUGCAUCUCCAGUUUUGAUUCUACUAGAUUAUGGAAUAUAGUCAAAAUCAGACCUGUAGUUAUGUGCAAAACCCUUCAGCAGUAUCAAUGAUCUGAAGAGAAAGCCCUCCUUUGGAAAUGGAAGAAUUUCCUUUAGAGAUUUGUGUAAAACAAUAGAUGAACAGCCAGAGAGAUUACACAAUUGCAUCAAAGCAAGAGAAGAUACCUUUGUGUGACCAAUUUAAUUUUAAUUUGUGUAUGUAUGUGUUUUUUAAAUAUCCUAAAAAAUUAUUAAAUUUAUUCUUGAAUAAAAAAAAUGAUGUAGCACAAUUUGUUUGCAGGAAUUUAUGAUCAUACUAAAUAUUUAUUAGCGGCUCG
rnacentral:lncRNA from 1 species